rnacentral:rRNA from 1 species
CAAUUUAAACAACGAAGAGUUUGAUCCUGGCUCAGGAUGAACGCUAGCGACAGGCUUAACACAUGCAAGUCGAGGGGCAGCACAGGUAGCAAUACCGGGUGGCGACCGGCGCACGGGUGAGUAACGCGUAUGCAACUUGCCUAUCAGAGGGGGAUAACCCGGCGAAAGUCGGACUAAUACCGCAUGAAGCAGGGGCCCCGCAUGGGGAUAUUUGCUAAAGAUUCAUCGCUGAUAGAUAGGCAUGCGUUCCAUUAGGCAGUUGGCGGGGUAACGGCCCACCAAACCGACGAUGGAUAGGGGUUCUGAGAGGAAGGUCCCCCACAUUGGUACUGAGACACGGACCAAACUCCUACGGGAGGCAGCAGUGAGGAAUAUUGGUCAAUGGGCGUAAGCCUGAACCAGCCAAGUCGCGUGAGGGAUGAAGGUUCUAUGGAUCGUAAACCUCUUUUAUAAGGGAAUAAAGUGCGGGACGUGUCCCGUUUUGUAUGUACCUUAUGAAUAAGGAUCGGCUAACUCCGUGCCAGCAGCCGCGGUAAUACGGAGGAUCCGAGCGUUAUCCGGAUUUAUUGGGUUUAAAGGGUGCGUAGGCGGCCUUUUAAGUCAGCGGUGAAAGUCUGUGGCUCAACCAUAGAAUUGCCGUUGAAACUGGGAGGCUUGAGUAUGUUUGAGGCAGGCGGAAUGCGUGGUGUAGCGGUGAAAUGCUUAGAUAUCACGCAGAACCCCGAUUGCGAAGGCAGCCUGCCAAGCCAUGACUGACGCUGAUGCACGAAAGCGUGGGGAUCAAACAGGAUUAGAUACC